CUUUUUUGUCAGCGGCUGGGUCCACGACAUCGGAAUCAAGAUACUUAAGGAUAACUAUCGCCUUGUUGUUGGCAGGGUUAAUCAUUCUCAAAGAAGUGGGGAAACACCCCUUAGAAGUUGGAUCAUCGCUAAAGAUGGGGAAAUUAUGACAGCCCACUGCAAUUGCAUGGCAGGUCUCUCAGAGUCCUGUUCACACAUAGGUGCUGUACUGUUUGCCAUCGAAGCAGGGGUCAAAAUGAGAGAAAUGGACAGUUCCUGUACAAUGGAGAGAUGUAAAUGGCUGAUGCCCUCACAUGUAAAAAAGGUAUGGAUCUGAACAUGAAUCCAAAGCCA
rnacentral:lncRNA from 1 species